CAGUAGCCGCGGUAAAACGUAGGGUGCAAGCGUUAAUCGGAAUUACUGGGCGUAAAGCGUGCGCAGGCGGUUAUAUAAGACAGAUGUGAAAUCCCCGGGCUCAACCUGGGAACUGCAUUUGUGACUGUAUAGCUAGAGUACGGUAGAGGGGGAUGGAAUUCCGCGUGUAGCAGUGAAAUGCGUAGAUAUGCGGAGGAACACCGAUGGCGAAGGCAAUCCCCUGGGCCUGUACUGACGCUCAUGCACGAAAGCGUGGGGAGCAAACAGGAUUAGAUACCCCUGUAGUCCCUGUCUCUUAUAC
rnacentral:rRNA from 1 species